CAGCAGCCGCGGUAAUACGUAGGGUGCAAGCGUUAAUCGGAAUUACUGGGCGUAAAGCGUGCGCAGGCGGUUAUGUAAGACAGAUGUGAAAUCCCCGGGCUCAACCUGGGAACUGCAUUUGUGACUGCAUAGCUAGAGUGCGGCAGAGGGGGAUGGAAUUCCGCGUGUAGCAGUGAAAUGCGUAGAUAUGCGGAGGAACACCGAUGGCGAAGGCAAUCCCCUGGRCCUGCACUGACGCUCAUGCACGAAAGCGUGGGGAGCAAACAGGAUUAGAUACCCUGGUAGUCCACGCCCUAAACGAUGUCAACUGGUUGUUGGGA
rnacentral:rRNA from 1 species